AAGCAUGUAUCCCUAUCUGCCUUUCAACCUCCUAAGUGACACAAAUAUUAAAAUGUAUCUCCUCCAACUGUAUGCAAGAACAACUUGGAGAGACUUUGACAGCUCAGGUCUGCACAAUACCUGUAACUACCACUGGCCUUUCCUAUGAUG